GGCAGGAGUGGGGUGGAGUGUUGCUGUGGUGUCCUUGUGUUUGGGAUCUCUAGCUGGGAGCAGGCAGGUGUUGGUCAGCAGUGGGUGGAGCUGGGCUGUCUCCUUAGCACUGCAUGAAGCAUAAGGAAAAAAAAAUCAAGAGGAGUUUUUUGUAGUAGAGAAGAAAAAAAUAAACAACUUCCAGGUGAAAGCAGAAAGAGACAAACUGGCCAGAUAAAAAACCAUAAAACAGAUGGGUCCUUCUCAAUACAAAUAAAUUUUUGGAGGGAGGAAGCAGGAGGAUGGAAAGUGCUAUAAAUCUAAUGGAAAUCCACUGACUGCCCCGGACUUUCUCCGAAUUCUUGCUGGAAAGGUUUUGAGAAACAGAAAAUGGAAACGUGUGGAAGAAAUUAACAGGCUGACAUGAACCUGGCAAUGAACAAGCAUCAACUACAUAGUACCAGCAGGAGCACUCAGCCUGACAAUAUCUGUUUGCUGUCAGUCACAUAAAUAAACUGAAAUGUUAUUGCACUUG